AGUGAACGCUGGCGGUAGGCCUAACACAUGCGAGUCGAACGGCAGCACAGUAAGAGCUUGCUCUUACGGGUGGCGAGUGGCGGACGGGUGAGGAAUACAUCGGAAUCUACUUUUUCGUGGGGGAUAACGUAGGGAAACUUACGCUAAUACCGCAUACGACCUACGGGUGAAAGCAGGGGAUCUUCGGACCUUGCGCGAUUGAAUGAGCCGAUGUCGGAUUAGCUAGUUGGCGGGGUAAAGGCCCACCAAGGCGACGAUCCGUAGCUGGUCUGAGAGGAUGAUCAGCCACACUGGAACUGAGACACGGUCCAGACUCCUACGGGAGGCAGCAGUGGGGAAUAUUGGACAAUGGGCGCAAGCCUGAUCCAGCCAUACCGCGUGGGUGAAGAAGGCCUUCGGAUUGUAAAGCCCUUUUGUUGGGAAAGAAAAGCAGCAGGUUAAUACCCCGCUGUUCUGACGGUACCCAAAGAAUAAGCACCGGCUAACUUCGUG
rnacentral:rRNA from 1 species